rnacentral:rRNA from 1 species
AGACGUCUACAUUAGAUACCCGGGUAGUCCCAGCCGUAAACUAUGCGCGUUAGGUGUAUCGGUGACCACGAGUCACCGAGGUGCCGAAGGGAAACCGUGAAACGUGCCGCCCGGGAAGUACGGUCGCAAGGCUGAAACUUAAAGGAAUUGGCGGGGAGCACCACAACAGGUGGAGCCUGCGGUUUAAUUGGACUCAACGCCGGGAAGCUCACCGGAUAGGACAGCAGAAUGAUUGCCGGGCUGAAGACUCUGCAUGACUAGCUG